GAAUGGUUGGUACUUUCGUGGAGGCGCAACUGCUCUUCAACUAAUCUGGGGAGCUAAUGUUAACGUCUGGCGCCGGCUGUGAUGAUGUAGCCCCCCUCUCGUCAUUUCACUAUGUGCGGCUUGCACUUGCCUUUUGACCUCCUCGCGCAUCCAUUCUUCGUGAAUUUUGUCAUGUUCUUUCAACUCAUGAACAUACUCAUCUAACUUGUGGAUCCGCUCUGCCUCCUCGUCCUUCUUUCUCUGGU
rnacentral:lncRNA from 1 species